UACAGAGGGGGCAAGCGUUGUUCGGAAUUACUGGGCGUAAAGGGCGCGUAGGCGGCCUUCUAAGUCGGACGUGAAAUCCCCGGGCUCAACCCGGGAACUGCGUCCGAUACUGGAAGGCUUGAAUCCGGCAGAGGGGGAUGGAAUUCCGCGUGUAGCAGUGAAAUGCGUAGAUAUGCGGAGGAACACCGAUGGCGAAGGCAAUCCCCUGGGCCUGCACUGACGCUCAUGCACGAAAGCGUGGGGAGCAAACAGG
rnacentral:rRNA from 1 species